GGGACGAUAUCCUUCCACACUAUUCCCCUUUUUAAGCCCAAUAUGAUCAAAUUAGGACUUAUUUUGAGGGAAGAAAUUGGAGAAGAAGCGCAUUUUCUUCACUCAAUUUAUACUUAUUCUACAACAACUCCUCUCAUAAUAAGUUCUAAUUUGGUCGAAUUGGAUUUAAAAAACGAGAAAAUGUGAAACGGUAUCGUCCCAUAAUAGUUUAGACAUGAAAAGCUCAACUUCGCCAACCCUAGUUGGACGAAAGCUGAUAGGAAAGUUAAAAAUUUUGACUAGUGAUAUGCAAAUUAUAUCAUUCAAAACUUUGGGAGCCAAGAAAAUAAAUUCAAACUAUUGUAACAAGGUAUUGUCAGAUUUUGCUAUUUGGUCACAUUUUGUCCAACUUGCCUAGAAAGUCACUAUUUUGUCACAAGUGAUGACUUCAAUUAAAAAUUUUGUUUUAGUCAACAUUUAGUUUAUUCAGGGUAGGACCCAUGUACAGAUCAUUGAGGCUGUGGCCCCCCAAGUUAUGAGAAAUUACACUUUUUUUUUUUUAAUCUUGUUGCACCCUUAAUUUUAUGAAAUUAAACUAGGAUCUCAAAUUUAAAACUCUCAAGUACUAUUAAUUCUUGAGUUGGCCUCCCCUCUAUUAUACAGUAGGAUUAGUCUUAAUCAAUCUUCGAGCCGGAUACUGAGUUAUAAAAAAAAUAUGAAACCCAAGUUUGUUCUACCUCCUAAUUUUGAUAAAUUACAUUGUUUUUUGUUGUUUGGCCAUGUCCCAUGUAUUUGCCUUCCUUCUUCCUUUAUUGAUUUUUCUUAUGUCGCAUACUCUUGCCUCUCUUAACUCUUUUGUAUGAAACCAUUAAAAUUUGAAUACUUAAACAUAUGGACCCCAUGUUUGAUUUUGAAUAAACAUUUUAGCUGAAAUGUUAGCAAUGGCCAGAAAAAAUCUAAAUUUAUAUAUUAAUUUUUUCAUAUUUUUCUCCCUUCAUAAAUUCCUUCACAAAUUCACUAUCCAAACUCGACUUUUAAAAAAAUUAUUAGGUAAGAUAACCUUAUAUAACUCUUCUUCUUCCUCUUCUCUCUCAAUUAGAUAAUAAGGAACAUUAUUUUCAAAAGUGUUUUUCAAACACUUUUAAAAGUAUCAAUUUUUAUAUUUUUAUAUAACUCUCUCUUCCUCCUCCUUCUCUCUCUCUCUCAAUUAGGUAAUAAGGAACAUUAUUUUCAAAAGUGUUUUUCAAACACUUUUAAAAGUAUCAAUUUUUAUAUUUUUAUAUUUUUGUAAGCUACAGAUAUGGACUCCAAAAAGUUUUUUUUUUUGGGUUUUUUUUUGGGGGGGGUGUUGUUUUUUUUUUUUUUUUUUUUUUUUUUUUUUUUUUUUUUUUUUUUUUUUUUUUUUUUUUUUUUUUUUUUUUUUCUUCGUGAAUUGGCUGGGAAUUUAAAAAAUAUUGACUAGUGACAUUCAACCAAGUCAUCAUUGAAACCUUGGGGGCCAAGAAAAUAAUGUAACAGGUUCAUGAAUAUGAUUGGUCAAAUUUGGCAUUUUGUCUUACCGUUGUGCGGUCUUUCUUUACUGAGAUAGUCAACAAUUUAGGGGUGUAAUGGAUUCGGUUUUGUGAAAAGUUACAGUCGUACCCGAAAAUGUUAGAUUUUUAGAAUUGUAAAAUCGAAAUUUAUAUUUUUGGUAGAGAAAUUAACGGUCAUUAGAGAAAAUUCAGUUCUGUUUUUGGUUUUUCCAAUAUUUUUGGACCUCUAGAAAAAAAUCCAAUUAAUCUUCUGAUUGAAACCCAAAAAUGUAACUGAGAUUUAGGAAAAAAAACAGAUUGAUGGCUCUAAUGCCAUGAUUUGGGCCUUCAACAAUAAAAUUUAGAUUACAAAUCCAAUAAACAUGCUAAAAACUAGUAAUUUUGAGUAAUUUUUAAAUGGAUGGUAAAUAUUUAGAUCUAUAAAUGGACAAUGAGAUUUAUAAAACAUGUGGUGGCUUAUAUAAUUUUGGUUCGGUUCAGUUUAGGUUUAAAUUGUUUGAGAGACCAUAAAACCGGACCUAGCUGAUUUUUUUUUUAAAUCUAAAAUCAAACCGAUUGACCAGCUCUAUAAAACCAAACUGAACCUAACUUUUCAAUCGGUCGGUUCAAUUAUCUUGAUUUUUCUUACACCUAGUUGAAGUACAGUGCACCAAAAUAUAUAUAAUUCCAUUACAAAAUGGUGAAUUUAGUGAUCAAAGCAAUUCUAAAGUUUUUCCAACUUAUUUCUUAAAUAUAAAACUAAUUGUCAUAUUAAAAGAAAAUGUAGAAAAAUUGUUUAUAACACACCUAAAUAUAUACUUUAAUGAACAAUUCAAAAAAUAUAUCUAUGCUUUAUUAUUGUAGAUUUUUAUUACUUGUAAAAAGUAGAUUCUAAUGGUAUAGCCUAUAAAAGCCUACCCUAUGUAUCAGGAUUUAAGACGUGUAGUAUACCGCAUUUUUGUUUCGAUCCUCGUACCGUAACGUUCCACGUUAUAGGUAACAUAGAAAUA
rnacentral:lncRNA from 1 species